rnacentral:lncRNA from 1 species
UGGGGAGACUUUGACUCAGUCAGUGAAUCAAGAGGUAGGGGUGUGAGGGUGCACCACGAUAUGGUGGGGGGAUCCACACAGGAUCCCCUGGUUGACUCAGGAGUCAACCAACAUGUGGCGCCUCUGGGAGAAGCCACAUGGCGCCCAUGCAGCAACCCCCACCACCAAAUAAAAAACAAAAAUUCUGAGAGAGAGAUUCAUUCUCUCAUUCUUGUUCUCUCUCU